AGUAGUUUGACUCCGUGGCUCGAGGACGACGCUGGCGGCACGCUUAACAUAUGCAAGUCGAACGGAGAAUAUUUGGUUUACUAAGUAUUCUUAGUGGCGGACGGGUGAGUAACACGUGAGCAACCUGCCUUUGAGAGAGGGAUAGCUUCUGGAAACGGAUGGUAAUACCUCAUAACGUAGUUUUACCGCAUGAUGAGACUACCAAAGAUUUAUCACUCAAAGAUGGGCUCGCGUCUGAUUAGAUAGUUGGUGAGGUAACGGCUCACCAAGUCGACGAUCAGUAGCCGGACUGAGAGGUUGAACGGCCACAUUGGGACUGAGACACGGCCCAGACUCC
rnacentral:rRNA from 1 species